rnacentral:rRNA from 1 species
UGGGUUUGACAUGCACCAGACGCGUCUAGAGAUAGGCGUUCCCUUGUGGCUGGUGUGCAGGUGGUGCAUGGCUGUCGUCAGCUCGUGUCGUGAGAUGUUGGGUUAAGUCCCGCAACGAGCGCAACCCUUGUUCCAUGUUGCCAGCACGUAAUGGUGGGGACUCAUGGGAGACUGCCGGGGUCAACUCGGAGGAAGGUGGGGAUGACGUCAAGUCAUCAUGCCCCUUAUCG